rnacentral:snoRNA from 1 species
CCUGCCCCUAGAGGCAUUGCAGGUGUGGCUGCUGUGUCCAUCACAUGCCCAUCACAUGUCCAUCGCAUGUUCAUCAGUAGGUGGCAGAAUAGGUGGAGAGAGGCUAUGUCUACACUCUGACCCAUGAACACCUGAAUAAUUAAUAGAGUUUAACACU